GAAUAUUGCGCAAUGGCCGCAAGGCUGACGCAGCGACGCCGCGUGGAGGAUGAAGCCCCUCGGGGUGUAAACUCCUGUUGCUCGGGACGAACCAUGGGUUUCGACCCAUCUGACGGUACCGAGUGAGGAAGCACCGGCUAACUCCGUGCCAGCAGCCGCGGUAAUACGGAGGGCGCAAGCGUUGUUCGGAAUCACUGGGCGUAAAGCGCGUGUAGGCGGCCAGGCAAGUCGGGUGUGAAAUCCCGGGGCUCAACCUCGGAACUGCACUCGAAACUGCUUGGCUCGAGUCCCGGAGAGGGUGGCGGAAUUCCCGGUGUAGGGGUGAUAUCCGUAGAUAUCGGGAGGAACACCAGUGGCGAAGGCGGCCACCUGGACGGUGACUGACGCUGAGACGCGAAAGCGUGGGGAGCAAACAG
rnacentral:rRNA from 1 species